rnacentral:RNase_P_RNA from 1 species
GGAUUGCGAGACGGCCUUCGGCUUUGCUGAGGAAAGUCCACUCACCAAAAAAGGUCACUGGGGAAAUCCAGGCUGCGAAAGUAGCGGCAAUGUCUCAAGAAACGAUACCACCUUACAAGAGAAUGAAGGAUGCAAGCUUCAGGCGACUGAGGUGAUAAGGUCCAGACGUUUUGUAAGGAGCGGGUGAAACGGGGAAUCCUGACCGGUGCAAGUCAUUUAGACGCUAAGUUAAAUGCCGUCACUGCCAUCGAACCCCUCUCAACAGGGUUUUUGGGUAGAACAGAAAGUGGCUUAUCGCAAUCC